rnacentral:rRNA from 1 species
AGCUAGCGUUGUUCGGAAUUACUGGGCGUAAAGCGCACGUAGGCGGCUUUGUAAGUUAGAGGUGAAAGCCCGGAGCUCAACUCCGGAACUGCCUUUAAGACUGCAUCGCUUGAAUCCAGGAGAGGUGAGUGGAAUUCCGAGUGUAGAGGUGAAAUUCGUAGAUAUUCGGAAGAACACCAGUGGCGAAGGCGGCUCACUGGACUGGUAUUAACGCUGAGGUGCGAAAGCGUGGGGAGCAAACAGG